AGGGUUUGAUUAUGGCUCAGAACGUACGCUGGCGGCACGCCUAACACAUGCAAGUCGAACGCAGUAGCAAUACUGAGUGGCAAACGGGUGAGUAUAAUGUGGGAAUCUGCCUUUUGGUUUGGAAUAACACGGGGAAACUUGUGCUAAUACCGGAUAAGCCCUUACGGGGAAAGUUUUAACGCCGAAAGAUGAGCCUGCACUUGAUUAGCUAGUUGGUAAGGUAAAGGCUUACCAAGGCAACGAUCAAUAGCUGUUCUUAGAGGAAGACCAGCCACAUUGGGACUGAGACACGGCCCAGACUCCUACGGGAGGCAGCAGUGGGGAAUCUUGCACAAUGGGGGAAACCCUGAUGCAGCGAUGCCGCGUGAGUGAAGAAGGCCUUUGGGUUGUAAAACUCUUUCGUCGGGGAAGAAAAUGACUGUACCCGAAUAAGAAGGUCCGGCUAACUUCGUGCCAGCCGCCGCGGUAAUUC
rnacentral:rRNA from 1 species